AAUCAACGCUGGCGGCGUGCCUCAGACAUGCAAGUCGAACGAUUAAAGCUCUCUUCGGAGAGUGCAUAAAGUGGCGCACGGGUGAGUAACACGUAAGUAAUCUACCUUCGAGUGGGGAAUAACGUCCGGAACGGACGCUAAUACCGCAUAAUGCAGCGGCAUCGCAAGAAUGACAGUUGUUAAAGAUUUAUCGCUUGAAGAGGAGCUUGCGGCAGAUUAGCUAGUUGGUAAGGUAAUGGCUUACCAAGGCUACGAUCUGUAACGGUCUAAG
rnacentral:rRNA from 1 species